rnacentral:lncRNA from 1 species
GGAAAUUCAAGAUCCUGAGCUGAGGGAAAGGGAUGAAGGCAUUGGGUGGCAAAUAGGCCAUGCAGCAAGUCCCCAGAAGAGUGGAGCUGGAGGAGGCGGGACCUGGGCAGUCAUGAGGAAAGGAGAGCUCCGGGUCAAGGUGCACAAAUGGGAGGCAGCCUUGGCAAACUGCUCCUGGCAUGGACAGGAGAGGUAUGGGUAGAGAGGAGAAGGGAAGCCCCAGCUCAGGAGGAGACCAUCCCUCUUCCUGUCUGACCUAGCCUUGGGCAGCUCUACUAUAUGCUGUGUCUUUGUCUUCUCAGCUUCCUUGGUCCAGGCCCUGGUACCCAGAUGGUAUUGUCAUCUCCUUCCCUGGCUGGUUUCCAUUAGUCUGAGUUUUAUUCUACCAACCCAGGAGAUUGACUGGAUCACUGAGUUAGUGCUGUCCCACUUUGGAGAAGACGGCCCUGUCAGGCCUUGGACACAGAAGCCCUUACAAAGCCAGUGGUCAUUUUUCUACCCUGUGCCCAACACCACCUUUGGGAUCAGACCUACAAGGAAAUGGAUUGCCAUGGGACUGGAACUCUCGACCAAUGGUGCAGUAUCGACUGGACACCCUCAAGUUGCCAGGCCACCUCUAGUACUAAAUGGGAUACGGGACAUGGCCCCAGAAGCCCCUUUUGCCCGUUAUGGCCUUGUUCUUGCUGUGCAGGAAAUACUGAGUGAUGCCAGGAGUGAUCCCCUGGCCAAGGCCACCACCCUGCUGAAAAGUGGCGGUGCAUGCCGCUUCCUCCGGAGGUUUCCACGAUUGCAGAAAACAGAGGUAUCCAAGUGCUCCUAAGUGUCCUCUACGCUGUCGCAGGACACGGUUCUCCUUCGUUCUGUUUGGCAAGCUUCAAGCUUCCCCCUGGCCCCUGGAUGUUUGUGAACUAAAUGAAAAGCCACAUCAGUAGAAAUGCUAUGCAGGGGCUCUGGGUUCCUUAAAAAUGGGGCUUACGGUAGACCUGCAUAUAUAAAUAAACCUUUCACCUGCUGACCCAGGGUGAAAAUGCUACUUGCCUUAGAAUAAAAAAUAUUAAAGUGCAG